rnacentral:rRNA from 1 species
AUCCUGAAAACAUUUCGAACUCAAGAGAUAUUUAUAGCCUUUUACAAAAAUAUUAUAAACUAAGAAUUUAGAAAAAGAGUUAUACCAUAAUCAGAUCAGCGACAUAAAAAAAGUUAUGUUGUAAAAAUG